rnacentral:rRNA from 1 species
GGCCCAGACUCCUACGGGAGGCAGCAGUGGUUCCUCUUGCGCAAUUUGCUCAAGCCUGCCGCCGCGACGCCGCUUGCGUGAUGAAGGUCUUCGGAUCGUACCCCCCUGUCAGCAGGGCCGCACGGUCACUGUGCUAAUCAGCAGUGAAUUGACGGUACCUGCAAAGGAAGCACCGGCUAACUCCGUGCCAGCAGCCGCGGUAAUACGGAGGGUGCGAGCGUUAAUCGGAAUUACUGGGCGUAAAGCGCUCGGAGGCGGUAUGUCAAGUCAAGGGUGAAAUCCCCGCGCUCAACGUGGGAACUGCCUUUGAAACUGGCAAACUGGAGUGUGUGAGAGGAUAGUGGAAUUCCAGGUGUAGGAGUGAAAUCCGUAGAUAUCUGGAGGAACAUCAGUGGCGAAGGCGACUAUCUGGCACAGAACUGACGCUGAGGAGCGAAAGCGUGGGUAGCAAACAGGAUUAGAUACCCCCGUACCG